rnacentral:rRNA from 1 species
AGAGUUUGAUCAUGGCUCAGCCUGAACGCUGGCGGCGUGGCUAAGACAUGCAAGUCGCACGGACGUAGCAAUACGUUAGUGGCGAACGGGUGAGUAAUGAAUCGCUAAUGUGCCCCGGACUCUGGGAUAGCCGGCCGAAAGGCUGGGUAAUACCAGAUGAUAUGCAGCUGUCGCAUGACAGUUGCCUCAAAGGUCCGCCGGUCUGGGAGCAGGCGAUUUUGUAUCAGCUUGUUGGUGAGGUAACGGCUCACCAAGGCGACGACGCAUAGCCGGACUGAGAGGUUGGCCGGCCACAUUGGGACUGAGACACUGCCCAGACUCCUACGGGGGGCUGCAGUAACGAAUCUUCCGCAAUGUACGAAAGUAUGACGGAGCGACGCCGCGUGUAGGACGAAGCCCUUCGGGGUGUAAACUACUGUCAGGGGUUAGAAAGUUCUGAUCAACCCCAGAGGAAGGGACGGCUAACUCUGUGCCAGCAGCCGCGGUAAGACAGAGGUCCCGAGCGUUAGGCGGAAUCACUGGGCUUAAAGCGUGUGUAGGCGGACUUCUAAGUACCUUGUGAAAUCCCACGGCUUAACCGUGGAACUGCUUGGUAUACUGGUUGUCUUGGGCCAUCUAGGGGCUACCGGAACAAACGGUGGAGCGGUGAAAUGCGUAGAUAUCGUUUGGAACGCCAAUGGUGAAAACAGGUAGCUGGGGAUGUGCCGACGCUGAGACACGAAAGCCAGGGGAGCGAACGGGAUUAGAUACCCUAGUAGUCC